rnacentral:rRNA from 1 species
UACGGGGGGGGCAAGCGUUGUUCGGAAUUACUGGGCGUAAAGGGUUCGUAGGUGGCCAACUAAGUCAGACGUGAAAUCCCUCAGCUUAACUGGGGAACUGCGUCUGAGACUGGAUGGCUUGAGUGCAGGAGAGGAACGCGGAAUUCCAGGUGUAGCGGUGAAAUGCGUAGAUAUCUGGAGGAACACCGGUGGCGAAGGCGGCAUCCUGGACCGGUAUUGACGCUGAGGCGCGAAAGCUAGGGGAGCGAACGGG